CUGACUAGCCUACUGAAUCAUAGAAUUUUUUCAAUUCAUGAUGUCGUAAGGGAAAAUAAUGAUAAUACCUUACUAUGAGUGUCGUCCAAAUCUGGUGCCAGAAGACUCGGUAAGACCAGAGACGCAAACGUUAAUCAUCUUAAACAGGCGUAAAGGGUUUGUAGGCAGCUCCCACGAGAUGGUGAUUCCAAAAUAAAGCCAUCUAAUUGAGAGCUAGAAUCAAAAAGAGGUUAUAGUGUAUAACGCCUAGAGGAGGGCUGAUAUCCAUAGAUCCUAGGCAGAAUACUUAGGGCGAAGGCCACUCUCCACUAAUGAUUGACGCUGAGAAACGAAGGUUAGGGUAGGAAAUAGGAUUAGAUACCCCGGUACUCCUUUCUGUAAACGAUGAAUGGUAGUCAUUAAUUUUCUAAUUAGAGACGAAGUUAACACAAUAACCAUUCCGCCUUGUGAGUACUACUGCAAAGUAGAAAACAAAAAAAUUAGUCGGUCUCGAAGCAAACGGAGUGAAGCAUGUUAUUUAAUUAA
rnacentral:rRNA from 1 species